rnacentral:rRNA from 1 species
ACGGAAGGUAGCAGUGAGGAAUAUUGGUCAAUGGGCGCAAGCCUGAACCAGCCAAGUAGCGUGAAGGAUGACUGCCCUAUGGGUUGUAAACUUCUUUUAUAUGGGAAUAAAGUUCGCCACGCGUGGUGUUUUGUAUGUACCAUAUGAAUAAGCAUCGGCUAAUUCCGUGCCAGCAGCCGCGGUAAUACGGAAGAUGCGAGCGUUAUCCGGAUUUAUUGGGUUUAAAGGGAGCGUAGGCGGGUCCUUAAGUCAGUGGUCAAAGCGUGUGGCUCAACCAUACCACGCCGUUGAUACUGGGGACCUUGAGUGCACAUAAGGAUGGUGGAAUUCGUCGUGUAGCGGUGAAAUGCUUAGAUAUGACGAAGAACUCCGAUUGCGAAGGCAGCUGUCCGGGGUGUAACUGACGCUAAUGCUCGAAAGUGCGGGUAUCAAACAGGAUUAGAUACCCUGGUA